CGCAUUACGGGGUGCCGCGUAUGGGAAGUUCGCAGAGCGGCUUACGGUUCGUUCAAGUAUUUAUUGAACAUAGUCCGAGUACCCAAAGAGGGUGUAAGGCCCGUUCGGCGAAUCGUAAGCGUCUCCGGCGUUCUUCUCGAGAGUCGGGUUGCUUGAAAAUGCAGCCCUAAGAGGUGGUAAACUCCAUCUAAGGCUAAAUACUUCCACGAGCCCGAUAGCGAACAAGUACCGCGAGGGAAAGUUGAAAAGAACUUUGAAGAGAGAGUUCAAUAGAGCGUGAAACUGCCACGAGGUUAAAGCGGAUGGACGGUCGUGGCAGAACGGGGGACUCAGGCCUCCAGUGGAAAGAGGGGCGGCGCGUUUAUUAAACGACCAGACACUCCUCCUCGCGGAUACUCUCCGCUUGGAGGUUGUUCUAGGCGUUGGACGCGAUCGUUUUGACCCCGAAGCUGGUUGGUUGUUUUUACCUUAGUAAGCCGUCGCGGUCGUUGUGGCGUUGUCGAGACCCUUUGGAGUUUUAUAUAAUGGGAACCGACCGUGAAAGCCUUUCCUCUCAUUGCGAUGAUCGCGCGAGUAUCGGUCGGGGACGCUCUAGGGUACGCGACGGACGCCUGCGACGAUUAAUGAUAACAGACGGAUCGGUUUUUUGUUGCGGGGAAGUAUUUUAGAGGGUUUCGGCCGCUUCGGCGUUUUACUACGUCGCGGCGAUCGUUUCCCUCUAUACUCCCGAUUACACGCUCCGAUCCGUGCGCGGCGCAUAAAAACGGCGCACGUCCNUCNGUCCCGUCUUGAAACACGGACCAAGGAGUCUAGCAAGUACGCGAGUCAUAAGGGUUUACUAAACCUUGUUGGCGCAACGAAAGUGAUGUGUGGUGUCGAGCGUUGGAGAGUAUAUAUAUAUAUUUAUAUGUGUGUGUAUUCCCCCUCUCUCGGCAUCUCUAGCACGGGGUUGGCGUUUUUUUAUUAAAACCUAACCUCAUUGGACCGAUCCCCCUUGUGUACUUCAAUUUUUGUUGUAAGAGUCUGGCUCUCCGGCCAGGCUUCGCGAAAACGAAUGCAUACUAAAUAAGGGGGCGCAGGUCCGGGGGCCCGCCAUUUUCUCCUCUCCUUCCCUCUCCUUUCUCGCAAGAGUCCGGAAAAAGGGGGGAGACGAAAGGCGGGUGCCAAGAGCGUACCUGCUAGUACCCGAAAGAUGGUGAUCUAUGCCUGGCCAGGAUGAAGCCAGAGGAAACUCUGGUGGAGGUCCGUAGCGGUUCUGACGUGCAAAUCG
rnacentral:rRNA from 1 species